UGGGGAAUAUUGGACAAUGGGCGAAAGCCUGAUCCAGCCAUGCCGCGUGUGUGAAGAAGGUCUUCGGAUUGUAAAGCACUUUAAGUUGGGAGGAAGGGCAUUAACCUAAUACGUUAGUGUUUUGACGUUACCGACAGAAUAAGCACCGGCUAACUCUGUGCCAGCAGCCGCGGUAAUACAGAGGGUGCAAGCGUUAAUCGGAAUUACUGGGCGUAAAGCGCGCGUAGGUGGUUUGUUAAGUUGGAUGUGAAAUCCCCGGGCUCAACCUGGGAACUGCAUUCAAAACUGACUGACUAGAGUAUGGUAGAGGGUGGUGGAAUUUCCUGUGUAGCGGUGAAAUGCGUAGAUAUAGGAAGGAACACCAGUGGCGAAGGCGACCACCUGGACUAAUACUGACACUGAUGUGCGAAAGCGUGGGGAGCAAACA
rnacentral:rRNA from 1 species